GCCCCCAUCGAUAAGGGUGGUACCAGCAUACCGAACUUGUCGACAGCGGCAAGGAAGUCCGGUGAAAAACCGGCGCAGCCCCCGCUACUGUAAGGUGGACGAACCCCAUAGCCACUGGGAAACCGGGAAGGCGGGCAGUAGGAAGAAACCAAGCCAGGAUAUUUGCCAGAGGAGUCUCUGAACG
rnacentral:ncRNA from 2 species